UUCUGGGUAGAACAACGGUAGUUCAACUCCCUGUUAAGGAGACGGUUGCAGGUUCGAUUCCUGUCCCAGGAG
rnacentral:tRNA from 1 species